AUGGAGCCGACCGGCCGGAGUACCAAGAGGAUGAGACCCGCGCCGCCCCACACCCACGAAUCUACGCCAGGUCCAGCGGAAACGACGGAUCCGGCCGCGGGGAGAACCCAACACCCGCCGCCGGGAGCUGGGGGUGAUGGCGGCGAGGGACCGCCGGACCGCAUCAGCGAUCUUCCCGACGCGGUCCUCGGCGAGAUAAUCUUCCUCCUGCCCACCAUGGAGGGCGCCCGCACCCAAGCCCUCGCGUCCCGGUGGCGCCACCUCUGGCGCACCGCCCCCCUCAACCUCGACUGCCGCGGCAUCCCCGGCAACCUCCCCGGCGCCAUACUCUCCGCCCACGGGGGCCCCGUCCACCGCCUCUGCCUCCCGUCGCUCCUCCUCCAGUACAGAGCCGAUGUGGCAGGCACCUGGCUCCGGUCCCCCUCCCUGGACACGCUCCAGGAGCUCGAGUUCUACCUAGAGCUACCAAUAACAUACAGAUUUUCGUUCUCAAGGUUACAGCUGCUGCAACCACCGCCGGCGUCCAUCUUCAGGUUCUCGUCCACUCUCCGCGUCGCCACCAUCAGCCAGUGCCAUCUCCCGGACAAUACCGUGGAGACGCUUCAGUUUCCCCUGCUCAACAAGCUUGCGCUCGUGGAGGUCAAAAUCUCGGAGGGCUCGCUGCAGAGCAUCAUCACCUCCGGCUGCCCUGCCCUGGAGAGCUUGUUGCUCAGGACUAGUUUUGACAUCCGUGGUCUCAGGAUCAACUCCCCUAUCCUUAAAAGUAUAGGCGUUCAUUCUAGGUUUGUAGAACUCAUCAUUCAGGAUGCCCCUUCACUUGAAAGAUUGCUCUGUCUGAGAAUGGAUAUGAGAAUGCGAGUGUCAGUACUCUCCGCACCUAGACUGGCGACCUUGGGUUACAUUUCUCAGGAUUCACAGGACUCCAAAAUCAUGUUUGGCUCCACGGUUAUUCAGAGAUUGUGCGUUGUUAGCCUGACAAUGGUGGUGCCUACUAUCAAGAUCUUAGCUGUGCAUAUGAAUUUUAAUCUGGAUAUGGUUAUUGAGUUGAUGAAAUGCUUUGUAUGCUUGGAGAAGUUGUAUAUGAAGAUUCAGACAGAUUCACCAGCAGGAACAAAUUUCUGGCGUCAUAAACACCGGAAUUUUCUCACAUCUCAGGACAUUCGUUUGAAGACCUUAGUGCUGGGACAUUACCGAGGCAUCCAGGCACAAGUUAACUUUGUCACAUUCUUUAUACUGAAUGCGAAACUGCUAGAGUCCAUCCGACUUGAGGUUGAUUCCAGGGAUUACAAUGACAGAUUUUUCGCAGAACAGUGUAGGAUGCUUCAGAUGGAGAACAGGAUUUCUAGAGGUGCUCAGCUCUGUGUUACAACAGGUUCUCACAAUGAUGUUUCGAGCACCGUUGACCUCAAUGAUUUGGAUUUGGCUGAUCCGUUCGCAUGUAGAUGUUGA
rnacentral:rRNA from 1 species